AAGAAGGAUGGAAAGAAUGGAGAGAGCAAGCAGGGGAUAGCGGAGGGGGAAAAGGGGGUUAGGAUGAAUGGUAGGGUAAGAUCGGCGAACUGCGCUCACCUUUCGUCCGACUCUUUGUUGUGUGUGUGUUUCAUUCAUUUUCCGAAUUUUUGCAUAGUAAUCCAUCACAAAGUUUGGGACAGAGUACUGCGACCGUAAUGCGAUGAGUACUGUUUUGUAUUUUCAUAUUCAGCCUUGCGCACUUUUCGUAAUAUGGGAAGUGUUUUUUCCCCUGCAUGCGGUCAUUGUCCAGUCCUAGUUGGUGAUCACAUAGAAAAGGAAAGGAAUGUGAGAUAGAUAGUCAGCUCAGCUGUUGAUGUUUUGCUGUUGUUUGCCCUGAAUCCUUCCUGCUUCUCUACACAGUCGCGGCAUAAGGACUUUCUUGUCCCCCUCCCUCUCUAUCCACUCACAAGUAUAACAGAGCCUAUAGGACAUGGGAAACUGGGAAACACAGGAGAACAAAGGUAUGGUGCACCCAAUAGCACCUCCGCUACACUACCCCGACAGAACAGACCCACUUCCCUUUUUCUCAAACAAUCGCAGCUUGGCUGUGCACUAUGGGCAGGAACAAUUCCCUUAGUAACAGCUAUGGGCCCCGGCACAGUGCACUGAGGAGCCAUCCCCAUCCGUUUGACCAAAAACCCAGGGAAAGCGUUUGUUGAGGGGGAUAUAGACUCACAUAAAUGAGUUAUAGGAGGUGUUACCAAACUUGGUUACUUAACGCUGGUAUAAUACAUUAUGAUGCGGUUAAAAUGUGUUGUAAGACUUGUCAUAAGCAUGUAUGACCUCCUUAUGAUAUGUUCUUAUCAUCUCACAAUGAUUCUGAAUAAAUAGCAGCCAUUUUGAGUCAAGUGACAGAGGGGCAUAACUUUUUAUAAGAUUUAUCAUAAGACAUUAUAAAGGCUUGUGCAUGUUUAUAACAAGUAGGCCUAAUGAAGCAUUAUACAGUAAGUAAAUAAAGUGUUACCAGUGACAAACGUCUCUAUGGUUCUUUUCUCAGACUAUCUCUCAUCACCCGGGAAGUUGAUGGAAACUUUCCGCCCCAUUCUAAAAUAUGUUAAUCCUAAUUUAAUUAGUUAUCAGAAAAUGAUCAUUCAUGAGGAUGAGGACAUCACAGCAACAUUCUGCGAAAACAUAACUUUUUUUAUUAGCAGAGCUUUUACUUCAAGACAAUUGAACACAACACAAGACAUGCUAUUAUUACAAUAUCAUAGCAUGAGC